UUUCCAGGUGCGCAAGUCUGUGGGCCAUGUUUAUUGACGAUCUGUUUUUUACUGCCUUUCCUAUUCGAAAUUGGUGUUGCCCUCUCAUGUCGCCACUCGAAAGCAACACCAGAAAGACCCUCCCAUCCCACCUCCCCUCUUCCUUCCGCAGGGUACGAUCCUGCUCAUUUCAAGUCUCAAUGCACUCGUCGCCCUUGACCAGUUCUACCUCCUUUCUCCCCAAAGAAUGAACCACCCCCCCUCCUCUGGGACUCUUACAGCACUUUUUAUUGUCAGUAAAUAAGUAACUCUCUCUCAGAGCCUCGGUUUCUUCACCAGUGGGAUGAGAUCCUUCCUUACGGAAGUGACGCAAGAAAAUCACACCGCAUGGAAAACAUCAAGUGACAGGAAUAUACUCUGCUUCUCAGCUGGUCUGGACCAGAUUUGCUAAAACAGAUGAAGAGGACCCUUGAGAUCCCUAGUGUCAACAGACAGAACACCGAAGCUUUGAUCUCAACGCAGAGACUGUCAUCAGUCACUGCACUUUGGAGAUGUUCCCCUUGGAAGCCCAUCAACAAAUUGGAAAAUUUACAGGGGAUAAUCUUCUCCCCCACCAGCAAGACAGCUGACUGCAACAAUAUAAGUGACCCCUGAUAUAGGAAAAUGGGUGAGACACUUACUGGCUCUC